rnacentral:rRNA from 1 species
UUGGAGGGCAAGUCUGGUGCCAGCAGCCGCGGUAAUUCCAGCUCCAAUAGCGUAUAUUAAAGUUGUUGCAGUUAAAAAGCUCGUAGUUGAAUUUCGGGAUCAAUAUAUCGGUCGUGCCUUGGUACGUACUGGUAUCAUUGGUUUCUCCUUUCUGACGAACCAUGAUGUCAUUAAUUUGGUGUUAUGGGAAGUUAGGACUGUUACUUUGAAAAAAUUAGAGUGUUUAAAGCAGGCUUUAGCUUGAAUACAUUAGCAUGGAAUAAUGAAAUAGGGCGUUCGAACCUAUUUUGUUGGUUUCUAGGAUCAACGUAAUGAUUAAUAGGGAUAGUUGGGGGCAUUAGUAUUCAAUUGUCAGAGGUGAAAUUCUUGGAUUUAUUGAAGACUAACUACUGCGAAAGCAUUUGCCAAGGAUGUUUUCAUUAAUCAAGAACGAAAGUUAGGGGAUCGAAGACGAUCAGAUACCGUCGUAGUCUUAACCAUAAACUAUGCCGACUAGGGAUCGGAUGAUGUUAAUUUUUUAAUGACUCAUUCGGCGCCUUACGGGAAACCAAAGUGUUUGGGUUC